UAACAAAAAAAUAAACCCCCUAUUAUUUAACAGCGGUUAGAAAAUAAAGAUAUAGGGGGAAAUGUAUCAAAACAUGUGCAGAGGACGAGUGGUGCAGUUGCCCAUAGCAACCAAUCAGAUCGCUGCUUUCAUUUUAAAAGAGGCCUGUGAAAAAUGAAAGCAGUGAUCUGAUUGGUUGCUAUGGGCAACUCAGCAACUUUAGGCCUCUGAAAAACGAAAGAAGUGAUCUGAUUGGUUGCUAAGGGCAACUGGUCAACUUUUCCUCUACACAGGUUUUGAGCGGGCUGGACAUACUUAUGUUCGGACCAGAAACUGAUCCCCUGUCCAUGCCAAGGAAGGAGUUAGAAGCUGAGAGAUUCAUAUCCCACACUCCUGUCUGUAAAAAUGCCAACAAAACCCAACUUUCCCAGAAACAGACACAACUAUGAGACUGGACAGAAGAGAGUGACUGAAGAAGGAGAAGACGGAUGACACCAAGAUGUGACGCUACAGCCUAUGCGGGCGCUUUAUCCUCUUUGGUAGACUUUGUGGUUUAUCGUUUUACGUCUUAUUACUGUUUAUUAAUAAAAAGCUAUAAA